UGGGCGUUGUAUUUGUAUUGA
rnacentral:piRNA from 1 species